GAUGAACGCUGGCGGCGUGCCUAAUACAUGCAAGUCGAGCGAACAGACGAGGAGCUUGCUCCUCUGACGUUAGCGGCGGACGGGUGAGUAACACGUGGAUAACCUACCUAUAAGACUGGGAUAACUUCGGGAAACCGGAGCUAAUACCGGAUAAUAUAUUAAACCGCAUGGUUCAAUAGUAAAAGACGGUUUUGCUGUCACUUAUAGAUGGAUCCGCGCCGCAUUAGCUAGUUGGUAAGGUAACGGCUUACCAAGGCAACGAUGCGUAGCCGACCUGAGAGGGUGAUCGGCCACACUGGAACUGAGACACGGUCCAGACUCCUACGGGAGGCAGCAGUAGGGAAUCUUCCGCAAUGGGCGAAAGCCUGACGGAGCAACGCCGCGUGAGUGAUGAAGGUCUUCGGAUCGUAAAACUCUGUUAUUAGGGAAGAACAAAUGUGUAAGUAACUAUGCACGUCUUGACGGUACCUAAUCAGAAAGCCACGGCUAACUACGUG
rnacentral:rRNA from 1 species